UACGUAGGGUGCGAGCGUUAAUCGGAAUUACUGGGCGUAAAGCGUGCGUAGGCGGUUCGCUGUGUCCGAUGUGAAAGCCCCCGGGCUUAACCUGGGAAUGGCAUUGGAAACUGGCGGGCUUGAGUGCGGCAGAGGGGGGUGGAAUUCCGCGUGUAGCAGUGAAAUGCGUAGAGAUGCGGAGGAACACCGAUGGCGAAGGCAGCCCCCUGGGUCGACACUGACGCUCAGGCACGAAAGCGUGGGGAGCAAACAGG
rnacentral:rRNA from 1 species